rnacentral:rRNA from 1 species
AGAUAUUUGAAAGCUUGCUUUUGAAUAUCUUAGCGGCGGACCCCUUAGUAACGUGUGGGCAACCUGCCUCAUACAGAGGGAUAAUCAUGUGAAAACGUGACUAAUACCGCAUGUCAUUUGUUGAAGGCAUCUUCGACAAAGAAAAGGAGCAAUCCGGUAUGAGAUGGGCCCGCAUCUGAUUAGCUAGUUGGUGAGAUAACAGCCCACCAAGGCGACGAUCAGUAGCCGACCUGAGAGGGUGAUCGGCCACAUUGGGACUGAGACACGGCCCAAACUCCUACGGGAGGCAGCAGUGGGGAAUAUUGCACAAUGGGGGAAACCCUGAUGCAGCAACGCCGCGUGAAGGAAGACGGUUUUCGGAUUGUAAACUUCUAUCAAUAGGGACGAAGAAAGUGACGGUACCUAAAUAAGAAGCCCCGGCUAACUACGUGCCAGCAGCCGCGGUAAUACGUAGGGGGCAAGCGUUAUCCGGAAUUACUGGGUGUAAAGGGUGAGUAGGCGGCAUGACAAGUAAGAUGUGAAAGCCCGUGGCUUAACCACGGGAUUGCAUUUUAAACUGUUGAGCUAGAGUACAGGAGAGGAAAGCGGAAUUCCCAGUGUAGCGGUGAAAUGCGUAGAUAUUGGGA